UACGGGGGGGGGCAAGCGUUGUUCGGAAUUACUGGGCGUAAAGGGCUCGUAGGCGGCCAACUAAGUCAGACGUGAAAUCCCUCGGCUUAACCGGGGAACUGCGUCUGAUACUGGAUGGCUUGAGUUUGGGAGAGGGAUGCGGAAUUCCAGGUGUAGCGGUGAAAUGCGUAGAUAUCUGGAGGAACACCGGUGGCGAAGGCGGCAUCCUGGACCAACACUGACGCUGAGUGAGCGAAAGCCAGGGGGAGCAAACGGG
rnacentral:rRNA from 1 species